AACGAACGCUGGCGGCGUGCCUAACACAUGCAAGUCGUGCGAGAAAGUUCCUUCGGGAGCGAGUAAAGCGGCGAACGGGUGAGGAAUGCAUGGGUAACCUACCCUCGAGUGGGGAAUAACUAGCCGAAAGGUUAGCUAAUACCGCAUACGUUUCCGGAACUUCGGUUUCGGAAAGAAAGCAAUACCGUGGGUAUUGCGCUCCUGGAUGGGCUCAUGUCCUAUCAGCUUGUUGGUGAGGUAACGGCUCACCAAGGCUUCGACGGGUAGCUGGUCUGAGAGGACGAUCAGCCACACUGGCACUGCGACACGGGCCAGACUCCUACGGGAGGCAGCAGUAAGGAAUAUUGCGCAAUGGACGAAAGUCUGACGCAGCGACGCCGCGUGGGGGAUGAAGGUCUUCGGAUUGUAAACCCCUUUCGGGAGGGAAGAUGGAGUGGGUAACCACUUGGACGGUACCUCCAGAAGCAGCCACGGCUAACUUCGUGCCAGCAGCCGCGGUAAU
rnacentral:rRNA from 1 species